CGUCACAGAAUGGCCUCCGACACCCUGGGAGCCCCUGACGUGUCGGGGAGGAGCCCGGUGCGGGGGUACGCGGAGUGGAGCUCAGGGCUGCGGAAGGGAGCAGAGCUGAACGGCUGGGCGGGCCUGGCCAGGCCAGCGGAGCGGAGACGUCGGCCGAGCGGCGGCGAACAUGCGCUUUUGACACGUUGGCGGCUUUCUUGACCAUGGAUGGUGAAGAUAUACCAGAUUUUUCAAGUUUAAAGGAGGAAACUGCUUAUUGGAAGGAACUUUCCUUGAAGUAUAAGCAAAGCUUCCAGGAAGCUCGGGAUGAGCUAGUUGAAUUCCAGGAAGGAAGCAGAGAAUUAGAAGCAGAGUUGGAGGCACAGUUAGUACAGGCUGAGCAGAGAAACAGAGACCUGCAAGCUGAUAACCAAAGACUGAAAUAUGAAGUGGAGGCGU